GGCAAAUGCACUCUGUGUCACAUUAAAUAUAUCCUCGUGUGAUGACAAUUUGUUAGUUUGCCAGAUUAAGGGGGUGCGUCUUAUCCAUGUGGUCAAGUUUCCAUCAAGCUGUUCACAUUGAAAACGCACCUGACAGGAUUAU
rfam:Drosophila ficusphila unplaced genomic scaffold scf7180000453811, whole genome shotgun sequence